rnacentral:rRNA from 1 species
UACGUAGGGUGCGAGCGUUGUCCGGAAUUAUUGGGCGUAAAGAGCUCGUAGGCGGUUUGUCACGUCUGCUGUGAAAUCCCGAGGCUCAACCUCGGGCCUGCAGUGGGUACGGGCAGACUGGAGUGCGGUAGGGGAGACUGGAAUUCCUGGUGUAGCGGUGGAAUGCGCAGAUAUCAGGAGGAACACCGAUGGCGAAGGCAGGUCACUGGGCCGCAACUGACGCUGAGGAGCGAAAGCAUGGGGAGCGAACAGG